rnacentral:ncRNA from 3 species
UGGUGGUGCAUGGCCGUU